rnacentral:rRNA from 1 species
UAGGGCGCAAGCGUUGUCCGGAAUUAUUGGGCGUAAAGAGCUCGUAGGCGGUCUGUUACGGCCGCUGUGAAAACCCAGGGCUUAACCCUGGGCUUGCAGUGGAUACGGGUAGACUAGAGGCAGGUAGGGGAGAAUGGAAUUCCCGGUGUAGCGGUGAAAUGCGCAGAUAUCGGGAGGAACACCGGUGGCAAAGGCGGUUCUCUGGGCCUGACCUGACGCUGAGGAGCGAAAGCCAGGGGAGCAAACGGG